rnacentral:tRNA from 1 species
GGGCUCGUAGCUCAGAUGGUUAGAGUGCCACGUUGACAUCGUGGAGGUCCCCAGUUCGAUCCUGGGCGAGCCCACCA